UACGGAGGGGGCUAGCGUUGUUCGGAAUUACUGGGCGUAAAGCGCACGUAGGCGGCUUUGUAAGUUAGAGGUGAAAGCCUGGGGCUCAACUCCAGAAUUGCCUUUAAGACUGCAUCGCUUGAACGUCGGAGAGGUGAGUGGAAUUCCGAGUGUAGAGGUGAAAUUCGUAGAUAUUCGGAAGAACACCAGUGGCGAAGGCGGCUCACUGGACGACUGUUGACGCUGAGGUGCGAAAGCGUGGGGAGCGAACGGG
rnacentral:rRNA from 1 species